CUAAGGCUCCAGAGGAAGCCACGGCUAACUCUGUGCCAGCAGCCGCGGUAAUACAGAGGCGGCAAGCGUUGUUCGGAAUUAUUGGGCGUAAAGAGCACGUAGGCGGCCUUGCAAGUCAGUUGUGAAAGCCUUCCGCUUAACGGAAGAAUGCCAGCUGAUACUACAGGGCUUGAGUACGGGAGGGGAGAGUGGAACUUCUGGUGGAGCGGUGAAAUGCGUAGAUAUCAGAAGGAACGCCGGCGGCGAAAGCGACUCUCUGGCCCGAAACUGACGCUGAGUGUGCGAAAGCUAGGGGAGCAAACGGGAUUAGAUACCCCGGUAGUCCUAGCCGUAAA
rnacentral:rRNA from 1 species